AGGCGCGUAGCUCAGUUGGCUAGAGCAUCACCUUGACAUGGUGGGGGUCGUUGGUUCAAGUCCAAUCGCGCCUACCA
rnacentral:tRNA from 1 species